CAUGCAAGUCGAGGGGAAACGACAUCGAAAGCUUGCUUUUGAUGGGCGUCGACUGGCGCACGGGUGAGUAACGCGUAUCCAACCUGCCCAUCACUUGGGGAUAACCUUGCGAAAGUAAGACUAAUACCCAAUGAUAUCUCUAGAAGGCAUCUGAAAGAGAUUAAAGAUUUAUCGGUGAUGGAUGGGGAUGCGUCUGAUUAGCUUGUUGGCGGGGUAACGGCCCACCAAAGCAACGAUCAGUAGGGGUUCUGAGAGGAAGGUCCCCCACAUUGGAACUGAGACACGGUCCAAACUCCUACGGGAGGCAGCAGUGAGGAAUAUUGGUCAAUGGACGAGAGUCUGAACCAGCCAAGUAGCGUGCAGGAUGACGGCCCUAUGGGUUGUAAACUGCUUUUAUAAGGGAAUAAGGUGAGUCUCGUGAGACUUUUUGCAUGUACCUUAUGAAUAAGGACCGGCUAAUUCCGUGCCAGCAGCCGCGGUAAUACGGAAGGUCCGGGCGUUAUCCGGAUUUAUUGGGUUUAAAGGGAGCGUAGGCCGGAGAUUAAGCGUGUUGUGAAAUGUAGAUGCUCAACAUCUGCACUGCAGCGCGAACUGGUUUCCUUGAGUACGCACAAAGUGGGCGGAAUUCGUGGUGUAGCGGUGAAAUGCUUAGAUAUCACGAAGAACUCCGAUUGCGAAGGCAGCUCACUGGAGCGCAACUGACGCUGAAGCUCGAAAGUGCGGGUAUCGAACAGGAUUAGAUACCCUGGUAGUCCGCACGG
rnacentral:rRNA from 1 species